CAGCCGCCGCGGUAAUACGAAGGGGGCUAGCGUUGCUCGGAAUUACUGGGCGUAAAGCGCACGUAGGCGGAUAUUUAAGUCAGGGGUGAAAUCCCGCAGCUCAACUGCGGAACUGCCUUUGAUACUGGGUAUCUUGAGUAUGGAAGAGGUUAGUGGAAUUGCGAGUGUAGAGGUGAAAUUCGUAGAUAUUCGCAGGAACACCAGUGGCGAAGGCGGCUAACUGGUCCAUAACUGACGCUGAGGUGCGAAAGCGUGGGGAGCAAACAGGAUUAGAUACCCCCGUAGUCCCUGUCUCUUAUAC
rnacentral:rRNA from 1 species